GACGAACGCUGGCGGCGUGCCUAAUACAUGCAAGUAGAACGCUGAAGUGAGGAGCUUGCUCUUCUUGGAUGAGUUGCGAACGGGUGAGUAACGCGUAGGUAACCUGCCUUGUAGCGGGGGAUAACUAUUGGAAACGAUAGCUAAUACCGCAUAACAAUGGAUGACACAUGUCAUUUAUUUGAAAGGGGCAAUUGCUCCACUACAAGAUGGACCUGCGUUGUAUUAGCUAGUAGGUGAGGUAACGGCUCACCUAGGCGACGAUACAUAGCCGACCUGAGAGGGUGAUCGGCCACACUGGGACUGAGACACGGCCCAGACUCCUACGGGAGGCAGCAGUACGGAAUGUUGGGCAAUGGGGGCAAACUUGAACCAGCAACGCCGCGUGAGUGAAGAGAGUAGUCGGAUCGUAAAGCACGGUUAUAAAUAAAGACCGCGUGUGAGAGUGAAAAGUUCACACUGUGACGGUAGCUAAACAGAAAGGGACGGCUAACUACAUU
rnacentral:rRNA from 1 species